rnacentral:rRNA from 1 species
GAUCCUGGCUCAGGAUGAACGCUAGCUACAGGCUUAACACAUGCAAGUCGAGGGGAAACGAUAGAGAAAGCUUGCUUUUUCUAGGCGUCGACCGGCGCACGGGUGAGUAACGCGUAUCCAACCUGCCCAUCACUUGGGGAUAACUUUGCGAAAGUAAGACUAAUACCCAAUGAUAUCCGUCGAAGACAUCUGAAGUGGAUUAAAGAUUUAUCGGUGAUGGAUGGGGAUGCGUCUGAUUAGCUUGUUGGCGGGGUAACGGCCCACCAAGGCGACGAUCAGUAGGGGUUCUGAGAGGAAGGUCCCCCACAUUGGAACUGAGACACGGUCCAAACUCCUACGGGAGGCAGCAGUGAGGAAUAUUGGUCAAUGGACGAGAGUCUGAACCAGCCAAGUAGCGUGCAGGAUGACGGCCCUAUGGGUUGUAAACUGCUUUUAUAAGGGAAUAAAGUGAGCCUCGUGAGGCUUUUUGCAUGUACCUUAUGAAUAAGGACCGGCUAAUUCCGUGCCAGCAGCCGCGGUAAUACGGAAGGUCCGGGCGUUAUCCGGAUUUAUUGGGUUUAAAGGGAGCGUAGGCCGGAGAUUAAGCGUGUUGUGAAAUGUAGAUGCUCAACAUCUGAACUGCAGCGCGAACUGGUUUCCUUGAGUACGCACAAAGUGGGCGGAAUUCGUGGUGUAGCGGUGAAAUGCUUAGAUAUCACGAAGAACUCCGAUUGCGAAGGCAGCUCACUGGAGCGCAACUGACGCUGAAGCUCGAAAGUGCGGGUAUCGAACAGGAUUAGAUACCCUGGUAGUCCGCACGGUAAACGAUGGAUGCCCGCUGUUGGUCUGAAUAGGUCAGCGGCCAAGCGAAAGCAUUAAGCAUCCCACCUGGGGAGUACGCCGGCAACGGUGAAACUCA